ACCUCAUGAGAGAGAAAGAGUUGAUCUCAGGGUCAAAGAGAGAAGCAGGCUCCACUGAUCCAACUCCUCUGAUGGCCGAUCAAUCUGUUUGAUCUUUGAUCAUUGAUCCGAUCUGACUCUGGAUCAGAGAGAAAAUGGAGGUGAAGCAGCUGAUGGAGGACGGAUGAAGACAGGAGGACGCUUUGUCAGCUUCUUCUUCACUCUGACUCCUCCUACUGACUCUCACACACAGUCUACACACUCACUAUUGAUUCCUGCUGAUCAGUGAUGUCAGAGUGAGGUCAGCGUGAUGUCACAUGGCUUGAACGGGCGUGUUUCCUGUGAACCUCCCAGCGGCUGGAUAACAGCUGCGGCUCUCUGGAUAUUUGUGGCUCGUUCUAAUGCGUGCAGUCAAACAAACUUUAUUUCUACAGACACAGAGAAGUCAGCAGCUGCAGGAAAUCAGAACCACUGACAGGAAGUUAAGAGUCAAGUUAAACCACAUGUCAGAACUUUCUACAGCAGCAGGAUUUAGAAGAUGCUGGAAGCUGCUGUCUUUAGAUUUUGGACCCGUCACAAUUUGUCACAUUUUCUGAAGCCACAACAAAUCUUGUUGAAAGGAAACAGUUGAUUGAAGGUCCAGUUUCAAACGAAGAGUCAAAGCUUCUCUUUGUGUCGACUCCUUUAAUGAGAACAUUGAAAAGGACUCGAGUCCAAGUCUCAAGUGUCCAGCUCAGAUUAUUCCAGCACCAACCCUGGCAGGAUGCAAGUUAAACAGAAAGCAACACAUUUAGUGACAGAACAGAAAGCAGCCAGCUGUUAAAAUGGACUCAGAGAAUGAAGACACAAUAAGAUUUGAUUCAGUCAGACUUUCACAAGAACAAAGGUUUGUUCAGCCUGAACACAAAUGUGGUCUGUAGUGUUUUUGUAGUCCCUGUUUAUUCAGCGCCUCUUCCUCCUCACUACACACUGGAUCAAAGCACAGCAGUUAAACCCAGAGGCCUCCAGUGGACCUGGUUCAGGCCUCUGAAACAUCUGGACUCUGUGAUCUUUGUCUUCCAGCGUUGACAUUUGGAGCAGGUAUAAACAGACGUCACGUGAUCUAGUUUGUUUGAAGCGUACCGAGUCCUUCAGACGUUGAUCUCAGAACUCAGCAGAAACUCCACUUCUUUAGUCUCUUUCCUCCAGGUUCUGGUUUUUCUCGUCUCUCUGUUCAUUCCUCAAAGAUAAAGCUGGAUUUUUCAUUGAAGCUGAAACAUUUCAGUAAAUAUGCCAGAUUUAGCCAGAAGGCUGUUUUUCAUCUGUAGUCAGUACAAGUCAACACAAAACAGACAACAUAGUAAAACCAACCCAGGGACCAGUAGACUCCAGCACAAUAUACUAGCAGUCAUUAUGUUCCAGUACACAGGUCAUGAACUGUUACCAGAGGAAAUCAGAAGCUUACAGUAAUCUGUUGGACUCAAAGAUGUUAUGUUAUUAAAGUGCUGUUUAUGCACUCAGAUCUAAUUCAAUAAUCUGGUUUCCUGCAGCGGUUUGAAGCCAAAAUAAACAUUUUGCUGUGAUUUCAUUUCAAUAAACUGAUCAAAAUGA